UUUGUGUUGUUGGCUGCUGUUGCUGGAUAUUAUAGUUAUAUAUUCAGUGACAUUGUUGCUAUAGAACAUCAGUUCUGCUCCUAUUAACUGUGACUCAUACUUUAAAGGUUUUAAAGUAAGGAGCUUUGAACUGGUGGAGAAACUGACUGAAACUGAUAAUAAUGCCUUUCUACAACCUUUAAGAGCAGCCGAGACCAUCAGCAAUAAGGUUGAAACUUUUUCUGAGUAAUUUUGGUGUCUGAAAAUGCUGCGAGAGGGAACGAUUUAACAACAUAAUUGCAGCUGAUAAAUCUGUUUUUUUGAAUGUUUCUUUGUGACAAAUACAAUGAGUGAUAGAUUUUACUGUCAAAAGACAACAGCAGUAUAGCAGACUGAUGAUCUCUUUAAACACAGAGGUUGUAGAGCGAAAAACUUGUUUGGUAUUUAUAUUAUGAGGAUGAAGCACUCGUGAGUUUAUUCCAGAAAUGAUAAACACAACAGUCAUGAUGUCAAAUAAAAACUCCUUUAGCUGUGCUGCAUAAUGUGAUGUAAUUAUACGGAUGCUAGGUGUGCUAUCAAAUCACUCUCUGUGUGUUUCAAUGAUGCACAAACACUAAUCAAGCCAACAAGAAGCACAUGCUUCAAGGCUCUUUAUUCACAGUGAAUGCACUCCUCAACUAAUUUCAUCAUGUGCUGUGUUUGUCUGCUAUCAAUAUAUUUGCCAGAAAUGCUACGGAGAUUCAUUAACAGCACUGUUCAUGGAGCCAAACCCUUCAGUCAUAAACUCAGGUAACUGACAGGCACACAUCCGCCUUGUCAGUGCUCUGCCUUUGAUUAUGUAUUCAUCCUUUUGAGAUGAAGGCAGAGGCAGUUGGGAUUUCAGGGUGUUUCCUUUGAUUUAACGUGGCGUGUGAUCCUGAACUAUCAUUAUGAUAUAUUAUGGUGCUUUCUGUCAUUUCAUGAGCCAUAGAUUUGUAUGUGUGAAGUAUUGCAGACAAUAGCCAUGGCUUCAGUGACUGCAUCCCAUAUAACAGUGGGCUGAUUGCUUGCUGUGAUUGAAAAUGCCCCCUUACAACAGAGACAGGGUGAAAAUUGCAAUCUCCAUGUAUACAGCCUACACAUCUAUAUCAAUCAAGGAGCACAGCUGCUCUCAACGCUGAGAUAUAUUCAUAUCCAGUUUGUGCAAGCACCACCUACCCUGAGAUUGAUUCAUCUGAGGAGGACAGUAGGAGGAAGAUAUAAAGAUUGGAAUUAUGUUAAAAAUGCAUUAGGUUCAAAGAGCAGGUAAUUGUAACUGUAGAUUAACACAUUUAUUCCUCUCAAAUCUUUGUAGGGACACAGUACAACAAUGCAAGACAGCUGAAAAUCAGUUCACGUAAAGUAUUAUUCAUAACUCAAAUAAUGCAUUGAAAUGUGAUACAGAUUUUUUUUUCUAAGCUUAGCUGAAUGGAAGGAGCAGCAGAUUUUUAAAAAAAUUGCUGUUUAAGUUUCAUGUUAAAAAGUCAAAAUUCUUAAAAAGAAAUUUGUGAUUUUUUUUUUAAAGAAAUAACUUAACAAAACUUUUUUUUUUUUUUUUUUCCGCAUAUUAGGGCUUUGGACUGCAGCAAAGAAGUCCAAAUUUUGUGCUCACAAAAGGUAAGCACACAAUACAAGACACACAAUACAUAUAAUACUGACACACCCCUUUACUGGUUCAAAUCUUAUCCUUCAGGCUACUGCUCAGUUCAUCCAACUCAAAACCUUCAAAUACAAGCUUUUUCCUGUUACAGUGUUCCACAGGGUUCUUUCCUGGGGCCUUUUCUGUUUAAUAUCUUUGUACUUCCCCUUAGCCAUCUUUAUGUAAAUUAAACACCCAAUUUUCUUGGUAUGUGGAUGACACACAGCUUUACCUGUCCACCAAACUUACCUCAUCCCUUCCACCCUCUUCCCUGUCUGAUUGCGUUAAGGCAAUCACAAGCACAAUUGGAUAAAAUGUCUUAUUUUUUAUUGCUAUUAAUAUUAUUAAGAUAAUCAGGCAGAUUUUUUCUACCUUUUAAUACAAACCAGCAAAGUCCCUUUUUUCUUAGGGUUUUCAAGAUCUAAUCAGAUAUUCAUGUGGAGCAAGGUGUGUUGAGACCACUGUGUGACUGUGCUGUUUACUUUCCCCCAAUCUCUUAGGAAGACCCUACUGAUUUGAAAAUAUGAAUAUUAAACAUUUUCAAUAUUUAUGAUCAGAAAUUCUCAUGUGUGCGGGGAACCCUGAGGACAGCCGAGCUCUCAGCCUUUGGAUUAAAACAAUAUUCAAUCAGGAAGCAAGCUGACAGCAGAGAGAAGCUCAACAGACACAGCAGUAGCAACAGUAUGGGGCUCUGUUUGUCUCUGUGUUUGAGCGUGGAGUGCAUUACUCCACACUUAACAAACUAAAGGCCAGUCAGAGCUGCAAAGCCUGUGGCGUACAGGAGUAGGUGUGUGCUGCUGCUGCUGGAGAGUAAACAGUUAGAGAGACAGCAAUUGUCAUGUCAUUAUGCAAUUUUUGAUGUGUAUCAGCUCGAUGCUUUGCAAGAUGGAUCCUCCUGAUGACAGACAUGGAAUCUGGCCAAUCCAUCUGCUUUGCAAGGUUACAGUCAUAAGCCAUGACUGGAAAAUUCUGGCUAGUAGGAGGUGUCUCGCACUUGCUCAGUUCCUGGAAAGAGAUGAGCUGCUGUAUAUUUUCAGAUGCCUGUGAAAUUGUCAGAUUUGGGGUGUUACGGAUCAUCUCUAAUAUUGAACGCAAAGCUUGAUAACAAUGUCAACUUUAACCUGAAGUCUUAGCAGAAGAGCCCGUGUUUGCUGAGAAUGAGUGUGCGGUAUAUGGGUUUAGGGGGGCGGUGCUGGUUCUAUAAUCAUCUUUCUUUCAGACAGGAAAUGUAAUAUUGAAUGUUUUGAUUCAGUGUCUGAGGCCGGUAAAAAUGAGUACACAAUACAUUUGGCUUGGAAAUGCCUGCUGCUCUGUCUCUCCACCAUCCAGCAAUGAGCAGAAGAUGAAAUGAUUCAUCACAGCAGAGACAGCUUCAACACAAUGAGAUGUGAUGAGAGGGAAAAUGGUGUCGUUUUAUAUCUCCCUGAGAUCUACACAUAGCAAAGAUGAAUAGAAGCUUCUUGAGGCCAAUAGGAUACCACCGGCACAGAAUCUGGCAGCGUCCCACAGGUGUGAUGUUUUUAUGAUAUCUUUCCAGCUCCUGGAUUUAAAGAGGCAAUCAUCUGCUGAUGUCGCUCUCUCAUCUGUACGGUGUUGACAAACUGAAGGUCAGAGGUAGAACUGGUCUAAAUUUGUGAAAGUCAUACAGUCCCACAAGUGAGUCUUAGUAUAGGCUAUCAGUCAAGGUUAAAAAUCCACAAUUGCCUUUGUCCAGAUGAAACUGGAC
rnacentral:lncRNA from 1 species